GCUUCUGUGGCUCAGUUGGUAGAGCAACGCAUUCGUAAUGCGUGGGUCGUGGGUUCGAGUCCCAUCGGAAGCU
rnacentral:tRNA from 3 species